AACUAAGUUUGUUCUUGGCAUAAGCUUUCGUAUGCAUGCACACUUCUUCAGAUACCUGAAGAAGUGUGCAUGCAUACGAAAGCUUAUGCCAAGAACAAACUUAGUUGG
rnacentral:miRNA from 1 species